rfam:Capsicum annuum cultivar Zunla-1 chromosome 9, whole genome shotgun sequence
UGGUAAUGAGUAAAAUCUCUAAGAAAACCAUUGAAGCUCUCCCAUGUUUGAUAUAAAUUAUCCUCAGGCUUUUACUUGAAACUCAAUAUUUCACUUCUUAGCCU